CCAGCCUGGGGCUGUGACUGCCCUGUUUGAGCAAUUGGUCCUGGACUGGCACUCUCAGUUGGGUUCUGCGAGGACCGCAUCGUCACAGGGGCACCAGCAGGGCUUGGG